CCCUUAGAUGUUCUGGGCCGCACGCGCGCUACACUGACUGCUCCAACAAGUUACCUGGGCUGACAAGCAUCCGGGAAAUCUUGCAAAGGCAGUCGUGAUGGGGAUAGAUUCUUGUAAUUUUUGAUCUUCAACGAGGAAUUCCUAGUAAACGCAAGUCAUCAGCUUGCAUUGAUUACGUCCCUGCCCUUUGUACACACCGCCCGUCGCGUCUACCGAUUGAAUGGAGAGGCAAAAUCUUCGGACCGUGACGCUUGGGAGUCAAAUCUCGGGCUGUCGUGGGAAGUGGAUUAAACCUUUCUAUUUAGAGGAAGGUAAAGUCGUAACA
rnacentral:rRNA from 1 species